rfam:Trichosporon asahii var. asahii CBS 8904 unplaced genomic scaffold scaffold00049, whole genome shotgun sequence.
GGCGAGAUGGCCGAGCGGUCUAAGGCGCUGUGUUAAGGUGUAUCCAAGCAUCUCCGCAGUCUUCGGACGUGGGUUCGAAUCCCACUCUCGUCA